UUAUUGCAGUAUAAACAAAUAUAAGAGCAUAUAAACAAGUGAUAUAUAGUGAUGAGUGCAUAUACAGGUAAUGGAUGUGUUAUUUUGUAGGCAUGUUUCGUUUCGAGUUCAAUAUAGAGCUCUAAAGGUCACUGCAUCUUCAUUGUUUCUUGUUUUCUGGGGCUUAAAUGCAACUUUUUGUGAGUGUUUUCUCUCUGAGCUUUAAAACUUUAAAGAUCCUCAAUAACUUUGUACUAGUUAUUGGAAGCG
rnacentral:lncRNA from 1 species